rnacentral:lncRNA from 1 species
GCCAAGAAGGCUCUGCCUCCAAGAAAAGACCACUAGAUGUUCCCUUAGAAAUCCAGCAACACUGGGCUGGGCAAGGUGUUUCACGCCUGUAAUCCCAGCACUUUGGGAGGCAGAGGCAGGUGGAUCACCUGAGGUCAAGAGUUCGAGACCAGCCAGGUCAACAUGGUGAAACCACAUCUCUACUAAAAAUACAAAAAUUAGCUGGGCCUGGUGGCAUGCAUCUGUAAUCCCAGCUACUUGGGAGGCUGAGAGAGGAGAAUCUCUUGAACCUGGGAGGUGGAGGUUGCAAUGAGCCAAGACUGCCAUUGCACUGCAGCCUGGGCAACAAGAGCCAAACUCCUUUUCAAAGGAGAAGAAAGAAAUCCAGCAACACCUAUCAAAAGAUCAAAUUUUUGUACCCAUAAAUUCAUCCCGCAAUAAAAAUCUGCCUUCUAUGACACACAAUAAAUCAGAGUACCUGUGGCACGGAGCUCCAAAUUCAGUGUUCUGGAUUGUUGAAGUUAAGGCUCAUCAUGGAGGGUUCACUUCUCAAGAUUGGAUCCUAAAACUGGAUACCAUCAAGAUGGGACAUAGCAGGGUCUACCCUGGUACAGGAGGAAACCAUUUCCCAGGCAGGCUUUUUUGGGGACUGACCAUCUGGCUUUAACUCUUCACCUCUUCCUGCCACCAACCUGUGAGGCCUAGUGUGGCUUCUCUGAAGGACCCUGCAGUUGAAAGGAAAGGAAAUCAGAAGUUUUCACAGCCCCACCGUUCCACCUCAGGCUCUUCUCCUCUCUUCUCUAGUCCAGAAACCAGCCCAUAUCCAUAAAACAUCAGUUCUCCUGUCAGAGUCAUCCACAACACAAUAGACUUCCCAGGCCUGGGAAUAAAGACUGCAGUCCCUUCAUCCUCUAAAGCCUUCCUGGGCCAACGGCCAAGAGCCACCCUCAACUGGUCUGAGCCAGAGCUAUCAGCUCCAACUGACUUUCCUGGUGGGAGCUGCUGGGAGCUGUCUCUCUCAGGUCACAGCCAGCUGCUGCCCAGAUUCUAUUCACUCUCACAUUUCACACACCAAACCCAGCAUAGCUAAGCUGAAUCUCAUAGUCCUGCUUUCUCCCAGGAACCUGAAAUCAGGGACUCAGCUGUCAUUAUUUCCAUGAAGGAGAGUGUAUGAAAUGCAUUCAGUCAAUCAUCUGCCACUUAUCAAGCACCUACUCUGUGCCCCUAGCCUGUGUAAUGAGGAGUCACAGCCCAGUGUGAAUAGCUAAUAUCUACAUAAGAUAUAUGUAAUAUCUAUGUAAGAUCUAUGCAAAAGGUAAGUGCUGGCUUCUGUCUGAAUUUUUGCCCUGUUAUUUCAGAGUACUGUAAAGCUCCUCUGAUCCCUAAGCUUUGCAUCAGAGGCUUAGACAUUCAUUAUCUCCCUGGG